CCGAUCAAAGAAUGCAAGAUUUUUGUUUUUUGUUUCCAAAUCCAAAUCCCCGCAGCCAUCGUGUUAAUUUUCGGCAUCCGAAAACUGGUUUCCUAGAUUAUAGAACUCCUCCGCCGUCUGGGCACCAGAAACAACUGCGAUCAUAUAUCAGUGGAAAGCAAGAGCCAAGUCUCUGAUUUAUGCGCAAUUUCAUAUGCCACUGCAUACUUAAUGAGUGAUAACUGAGAGAAACAACGCCGAACCAGACUUCCCGCACAGAGGAAAGAUUAUUUUCCCCCAUGCUAAUAUUCAGUAAUAGCUGACUUUUUCUGCAUUUCAGUUAGUCUGUGUUUGCGCAACAAUUAUGUGGGAAUUGCCAGAGGAACACAGAACACACUGCACCCGCAGAUCUGUAGAUACAGAUACGGAUACGGAUACAGAUACAGAUAGAUCGUAGCCACCUGUUUUCCAACUACAUCUACAUGUGGUAUUCAUCAAUCGAAUGAGCAGAGGAUUAGGUUCUUCAAGUGCAAAUUAUACAACCCUUUGGAAUGGCGCCCAUUGAGGAACUUUGGCGACGACAACCAGCAACAACUGGAUCAACAACAUAGCCACUAAAAACACAAUGGGAAUACUAAGGCAAUGUGCAGUAAUAAGCAAUAAAUGGAAAUAAAGGUCAAGUUUAAGUGGCGGCGAUGACGAGCGAGGCAAAAAGCUGAACUACAAAGCAAAAAGAGCAACAGAAUCCGCAGAUGUAAUGAAAAGCAAACGAAUAGCAGAAAUAUUGAGUGGGUGGGCGGUUGUGGAAGUCGAACAACAACUGGGGGAGCAACUGCGGAGGCGUUCUAUGAAUGAAUGAAUAUCUUAUACAAAAGCUGGAGCCAUGUAACUGGAAGCAAAGCAGCCAGAUAGCCAGAAAACCAGAAAGUAAGGCAACCUAACUUU